AUUGAACGCUGGCGGCAGGCCUAACACAUGCAAGUCGAGCGGAUGAAGGGAGCUUGCUCCUGGAUUCAGCGGCGGACGGGUGAGUAAUGCCUAGAAAUCUGCCUGGCAGUGGGGGAUAACGUCCGGAAACGGGCGCUAAUACCGCAUACGUCCUGAGGGAGAAAGUGGGGGAUCUUCGGACCUCACGCUAUCAGAUGAGCCUAGGUCGGAUUAGCUAGUUGGUGGGGUAAAGGCCUACCAAGGCGACGAUCCGUAACUGGUCUGAGAGGAUGAUCAGUCACACUGGAGCUGAGACACGGUCCAGACUCCUACGGGAGGCAGCAGUGGGGAAUAUUGGACAAUGGGCGAAAGCCUGAUCCAGCCAUGCCGCGUGUGUGAAGAAGGUCUUCGGAUUGUAAAGCACUUUAAGUUGGGAGGAAGGGCAGUAAGUUAAUACCUUGCUGUUUUGACGUUACCAACAGAAUAAGCACCGGCUAACUUCGUG
rnacentral:rRNA from 1 species